AUUUUACAGAUGGUUAAACACAGAAUAGAAAGGUUAACUGCCUUGCCCACGGCUGCUCACUAAGUUACCUGCUCUGUUGGGAGUGAGAACCCAGACCUGAAUCAUCAGUCCUGUAAGCAGAAAAAUCUCUCCCUUCAUACACCACAGAAACAGAACACUCCCAUACCAAACACAACCCUCAAGAGAUUAACGUCAUCCUUCAGGGAUUCAGCUGAGAAGCAACACUGCCAAGCUCUGGUGCAGUGUUCUGUAGGAGGUUCUACAGAUGCAGACAAGAUAUGAAGAUACACAUGAAGAUUCACCACAAUGAAUCACCAUGACUUACCUCCACAGUAAAGCAACUCAGUUGUAGCUAGAAGUCAGUAAAAACAGGUUACAGCACAAAUGACAUGAUUCCAUGGUACCUUCGAGAGGAAUUAUUCUAUUCAGAAACUAUCCCAAACCCUUUAUUUUGGGCUUACGUUAGCAGUGUGCCAGCUAGCCACUUGGAAACUAAGUUCAUUUACUCACGUAGUGUGUAGGCUGCACAUGCUGAAUCAGUAAAAAGUCCUGCACAGAGUUGCUCCCAUGGGUUUGAAAGCCAGCACAGAGGGACCUCCACUAGGGAUGAAGCACUGUCUCAGGCUCAGCAUCUCCAUCAGGCUUCAGCUGUUCCACUGAGUCUGUCUACAGGGGUGAUAGUUACAGCAAGCUCUAGUAUUGUUAUGCAUGCACUCUAUCCCAGCUGCACAAGUGUGUGCAACCCUAUCCAUAUUGCACACAGUCAUUCCCACUGCAGAAAGACAAGACCAUUUUAAGUUGUCCCUAAGUAAGCUGGGCUAAAUUUUAGCUGUCAGAGCACAGUGGCUGGCCCUGCACUAUGCAUUUGAGGGAGACAAGCAGUAUGCUCCUCUUUAAGAGCUUCCAGAACCAUCCCUUCCAAGUACUUUCCCAAUGCGUUUUUAUGCCGCUCCAAAACCUGACCCAUUAAUGCCCACAUCUGAGUAAGAGUCACAGCAGGAAUGAAGCUGUCUCAAAAAGAUACAGGCUGACUGAGGAUGAGAUGCUAGGUUUGGACAGUCGCUUCAGGUGAUCUUUAUUUUAACGUUCUGGGGAUUAGACAUUUUCUUAACUCAACGUGAACACUUCUAAAAAGUCAGUCUGUAUCUCAAUUACAUUAUGCAGAUUUGCUUUCUUGCACAUUUUUGGAUUCUCACGCAUACCAAACUCCAGCAUUUCAUCAAGGAGACAUAUCUGCAGGCAAUGUGACAGCUGCUUCCUGGCUCUCUGAGCCUGCAACAUUUUAUUUGGGUCAUGCAUAGUAUCUUUCCUCCCCUUUGAAGCAGGUAAAAUGUCUGCUUGUUUCUGACAGUGGGAGAUACCAUCACAGAAAUUAAGCCAUCUCAGAAGGAAAUCGUCAAGGAGGACAAACUUGCUACUGCAUGUUUGUAACAAUGCAUGAGCAGUGUUUCUUGAGCUAGCAAUGUAUUGCACAGGGAGCUAAAUUCAGCUCUUACACUUGGCAGCUUCACCAAUGGGAGUCACUGCAGUCUGAGUGCAAGCUCACCGCAUCCCAUCCACAGAAGGAUCCCUUCACAGGGAGACUUCCCACGUCCACGAAGCUGGAGAUGGGGUAACCUCCAUGCCACUGCCUUUGUGGAGGAGAAUCUGCAGUAGUAAUGCAACCCUGGGGACGCUUUCUCAUCAGUUCUGUUUGCAGGGAAUCAUUAUGGUGAUGACCAGUUCUGGCAAUGAACCAACAGGGGCAUGUUUUGUGCUGAAGGUUAUGAACAGUAACAAAGAUCCCAUUAAGAAUGAAAUUUAAGCUCUGCCCCAUUUACCAGCAGUUAGAAAUACGGAAAAUCAAUAUGAAUACUAUGUAACUGUUGAUGCCCACAAUGGAUAAAUAUUCCUAACUGGACACGUUCAAUACUAAUGAAUUAGACAUUAAUCAGUAGCAUAAAAUAUUAUUAAAGUUUCUUAUCUGGAAAAAACAAACAAACAUACUUUGUGAAAUCACUUUGAGGUGAUGGAGUGUCCCGAAUGGCAGCUUCAUAAAUAAAGCUUUACUAAGCCUUGCUCUUCUGCUUGCACUGGGUUAUGUGGGUGUCAGCUUGGUCUGCUCCUUGCUGUUCUGAGGGGUGCUAAGCUCCAAAUAAAAUCGGGGCUUUCAGAGCUCUAUGUUGGGUUGAACAAAAUGCUACAAACUAAGAACAAAUCUAGAUCUUCAUUUUGAGGCAUCGCAGUAGGAUGAACCUGCAAGUAAGAGCAGAACCCAGUCAAAAUAGUCGAGUUUGAGAUGUGACCUCUGCAAAAUUAGUCAACCUUACAGCAUAAUGAAGCAAAACCAUGUAUUUGUGACCAAAGGAAAGGUACAGAUUUGCUGAAGCCUUCACUGGUGUGUCACUGGAAAGCUCGGUAGGACAGAUCACUUUGUUAAGUGGAUGCAAGCAUUGAGUCCAUAAUAAAACUUGCAGCCAAAAAGGUGUGACCCAGUUUCUUGUUCCACCACUGAACAAUUUGCACAGCUCUAAAUAUAAAACUGUUGAUAACAUAUCCAUAUUUGUUGCACAGGGAGCGCGCUGCAUGAACUGUACCAGGCAACAAGUUGUGUAUUUCCAACCAUACUGCACCAUCUCUCCCUUUAAUAAGAGGAUCAGACACUGUUUUUCUCUUUAUCAUACCCACAUACAAAUAAACAUGAAAGCCCACGUUGAAAUUAUAAAUAUAUUUGUGUUAUUUUUAAACAUGGCACUACACAGUGAAAAUCAUGUCAUUGCAUUUGUCUUGAAAGAAUAAUAGAAGACAGUAUUGAUACAGAACAUUCUCUCACUGUCCCACUUCAUUCUGUUUCAGUGUGUUUUUAGAAGUAAUAAUGUUAACGAUGGCAGCAUUAAGUCACAUUGAAUAAGCUGUAGAGCUAACAGAAGUAAGCACUCUCGUCCUCAGCAUGGUGCAAACCCCAUUGCAAACACCAUGAGCCAAUGGAGUGGCUCCACUGAUGCCAGCAAAGCCAUACUGAUAUAGGAUCACAUUAGAUCUAUUCCAUAGCUUCUGCUUGAGCCUGAUGUACAUAGCCCCAAUAGAGUGCCCCCUCGUUGCAUAUCUCAAAGCACUUUAAAAUGAUAAAUAGUUAAUACGAUCUUCAUUUUAUAGGUGGGAAAAUGGAGGCACAGACAGAAAGAGUGAUUUGCUGAAAGUCUUCUAGGAUCAGGAACAACAGCCAGGUGCCCUAAGCCCUAACCUUGUACCCUUGGACCACACUGUUCCUCAACACACGGUGCAAUGUGCUCCUGUCUGCCUGAGCAAUUAGCGCAACUGAUACAAGAGAUUUGGAUCCAAGUGUCCAUAAAAGACCACUCAUAUUAACUGAGCUAGGCAAUAUUAUAACUGGAGUGGUUUUUUUUAAGGACUACUAUAGUAUUUGCAAUAGUUAAAUAGAUGCUACUUUAAUCAGCUCUUUUAUAAUAGCACACGCUCCUUAGAUUGUUCAUUACUGUGUUAUUUCUUACCUUAAGCCCUCCCAGCUAUUCUAGAUAAUAUUUUAAAUACACAGAGCUUUAAAAAAAUAUUUCCAUUACAAAUAUUUUAAAAAUAGACUUAUCCUAAAAAGCUGUCCGGCACUAUUCCAAAAAUCUCUUGUAAUAAAUGUCUUUUUUUUUAUUAUUAUUUUAACAAAAAUAACUACUGUUAUAUAGUAGAGCUCAAGUUCUGACAAAUCUAUAAUACAGUCAGAAAUAUCCUGGGCCAGAUUCCACUCUUGUUUAUGCAGUUAGGAUCAUGGUGUUCACUUCAUCUGGUUUACUCUAGCAUAACCAGAAGCAGAAUAUAGCCCUUAGUGUUGUAAAAUAACUAAGCAGGCUGAACACUGCAACAAUUACUUGUGCCUAGCGUUACACAGAAGGGAACUCCUUUAUUUCACUGCAACUCAAUGCAAAAGAACAUUAUAGUUCGUGGUUUUGCCAUAGCCAAAGAGGUGUCAGGCAGCUGCAGUGGAUGACUCAGAUCCACAACCACAUUUUGCCUGUAGAAAAGGAAAUCUUGGCUGAAUGUCUGCAACCGCUGUCAGUCAUUAAAAGAAGGAUGCAUAUUUAGAGAGAAGACUCGUGGAGAGAAAACACCAACCUUCCUAUGCCUUCCACAGUUCUACGAAUCCUUUUUAACUGUGUUUUGUUACUCAGAAAGUUGUGUGAGCUUGCUAGAAUCUCCCAUUAAUUCACUGUAGGAAAGACACUCUUAAAUUGCAUCCAGAUCUCCAGCAGAGCUGCCUCCCCCUAAGCAGCCCUUUUCCAAGUGCACAUUUAAAACAAGCUACUAAGUGCUUACAGGAUCUGCAUCUGAUCAGAAGGAUGGUGUUGAAGCUGACAGUCUUUUAAAACACUGGAACAUUUUUAUCUUUUUCUCCUAUCUCCCUUUUCCUUCUGGCCUUCAAAUUUAAAUGCAACGUCUGACUAAUGAUGACAGAAAUUAAUCUGCUCUCAUUGCAUCAGGUUAUAUAUGCAAGUAAAACUAACAGUCUCAGCUGCAAACGGUGAUUCCUACCUGUGACCUCCAUGAAAUUAGUAUGGAACCUUAUACAUAGAUUUAAUCUAAUCAUGUCUAAAACUUGUAGUCUGGUUUUCUUCCUAGACUUUGGCUGCUGAUCUAUCAGUAACUUAUAAACCAAGGAAAUUUAAGUAUAUAGACUGAGUUCAGUCCUCACUGUCGUCUUCAUCAUCAUCGUCAUCUUUACUGGGAGCACAUCUUUGGAAGCAGUGCACUAGAGUUGCUAGGAAGAAGCUUGAUAGAAUUGCAGCAAUGGAGACUGCGACUCCAGAGAAGAUGAUGAUAAAAAGGCAGGGAACACUGGAUUUCAUGGAGACCUGCAAAGAAGAGGAGAGGGAAACAAAUCAGAGGAAUAUUGAUGAAACCAUCUCUUGCUCUGGACAGAGAACAAAUGCCUGAGGAAAAUGUUUUAAGGGUUAUUUCUAGGCUCAGGAAUUUGUAUGAAAUUCAGGAGAAAUAAAAGAACAAAAUUUGCCACUA